GGGGGCUUAGCUCAGCUGGGAGAGCGCCUGCUUUGCACGCAGGAGGUCAGCGGUUCGAUCCCGCUAGUCUAGUCUCCACCA
rnacentral:tRNA from 1 species